CAUUGUUCAGGGAAAAAAAUUCCCAUUGUCUAUUGUCCACGGAAGAUCAAGAUCUGCCUAGGAACAGAGCAAGCGGGCGCCUCAGUGCACCCUGGAGGCCGAAAUAUCAAAGCAAUGGGAAUAUAAGACAGAAAAAAAUUCUUAAAAUCUUGAGGCUGGCAGGUAGAAUGUGGCAUACAUGUGACACCUGUGUCUAGCUCAAACUAAAUGAAGUCCAAUAGACCAGUGCCACAGCUACACAUCUUCUCGGGCCAGUUUCUAUGGGCCAGUGACUAGUCCUCCUUCACACUGAAAUGUAAGAUAGAUUCACAAAGAUGCCUUGAAAUGCAGCCAUCUUACCAGGACACAAAAGAUGUUUGUUGGACAGGACAUGCCACAUGUCAAGAGAGAGUGUCAACAGGAUGCUCUUGAAGUUGCCUUGCUGUGAGCUGAGUUGGGAUGGCUCCCAAGAGAAGCUGGAGAACCCUCUUCCAAGUGCUGCUCUUGAUGAUGCUGUGAGACAGUGGCUUGGCAGUGAAAACAACAGACCUUGGUGGCCAGCAGCAAGGACAAGCCCUUCCAACCCCAGGAUUUCAACUUCCCAGCACCACAGAAAGGCCCAUCUGGAGAGAGCAACCCACCCUGUGAACAGGACUGGAACUGUAAGUCACAGGUCCAGUCUUGUUUGGGAAACUCCACAGAAACAACUGCCAUUGGCUGGAGAUGGCUCAGUCAGUGAAGUGCCUUCCUAGAAAACAUGAAGACCCGAGCCCAACCCACUGGAACCCAUGUUAAAAAUAAGUACAAGUGUGGGGGUAUGCACUUGUACUCUCAAUGCUAGGGAGGCUGGUACAAGUACAUUCCAUGACUCUUUGACCAGCCAGCUUGACCUUCUUGGUGAAUUCCAGGUCAGUGAGAGACUCUGCCUCAAAAACAAACAGACAGAAAAGAAGUGGAUGACAACUGAGGUGAUAGCCUGGCCUGGCCUUUUAGUAAGCACUUACACAAAUACGUGUGUGUGUGUGUGUGUGUGUGUGUGUGUGUG
rnacentral:lncRNA from 1 species